rnacentral:rRNA from 1 species
GCGGCGAGCGAACCGGGAAGAGCUCAAAUUUGAAAGCUGGCAGCUUGCAGUUGUCCGCAUUGUAAUCUAUAGAGGCAUUUUCCGUGCUGGACCGUGACCAAGUCCCUUGGAACAGGGUAUCAAAGAGGGUGAUAAUCCCGUACUUGUCACGACAACCAGUGCUCUGUGAUAUGUCUUCUACGAGUCGAGUUGUUUGGGAAUGCAGCUCAAAAUGGGUGGUAAAUUCCAUCUAAGGCUAAAUAUUGGCGAGAGACCGAUAGCGAACAAGUACCGUGAGGGAAAGAUGAAAAGCACUUUGGAAAGAGAGUUAAACAGUAUGUGAAAUUGUUGAAAGGGAAACGAUUGAGGUCAGUCGUGACUGCAGGAUUCAGCUGUCUCUGGCAGUGUAUUUCCUGUAGUCGGGUCAACAUCAGUUUUGAUCGGUGGAUAAGGGCAGUUGGAAUGUAGCACCUCCGGGUGUGUUAUAGCCUUCUGUCGCAUACACUGGUUGAGACUGAGGAAUGCAGCUCGCCUUGAUGGCCGGGGUUCGCCCACGUUCGAGCUUAGGAUGUUGACAUAAUGGCCUUAAACGACCCGUCUUGAAACACGGACC